UACGGAGGAUCCGAGCGUUAUCCGGAUUUAUUGGGUUUAAAGGGUGCGUAGGCGGUUUGAUAAGUUAGAGGUGAGAUGUCGGGGCUCAACCCCGAAACUGCCUCUAAUACUGUUGGACUAGAGAAUAGUUGCGGUAGGCGGAAUGUAUGGUGUAGCGGUGAAAUGCUUAGAGAUCAUACAGAACACCGAUUGCGAAGGCAGCUUACCAAACUAUAUCUGACGUUGAGGCACGAAAGCGUGGGUAGCAAACAGG
rnacentral:rRNA from 1 species